rnacentral:rRNA from 1 species
UGGAUAACAGUGGUAAUUCUAGAGCUAAUACAUGCUAAAAGCUCCAACUUCGGAAGGAGCGUAUUUAUCAGAUUCAGAACCAAUGCCCUCACGGGCUCCUUGGUGGCUCAUGAUAACUCCACAGAUCGCAUGGCCUUGCGCCGGCGAUGGCUCAUUCAAAUUUCUUCCCUAUCAACUUUCGACGGUACGGUCUUGGCCUACCGUGGUUGCAACGGGUGACGGAGGGUUAGGGCUCGACCCCGGAGAGGGAGCCUGAGAAACGGCUACCACAUCCAAGGAAGGCAGCAGGCGCGCAAAUUAUCCAAUCCCGACUCGGGGAGAUAGUGACAAUAAAUACCGAUACAGGGCUCUUUUGGGCCCCGUAAUUGGAAUGAGUACAAUUUAAACCUCUUAACGAGGAACAAUUGGAGGGCAAGUCUGGUGCCAGCAGCCGCGGUAAUUCCAGCUCCAAUAGCGUAUAUUAAAGUUGUUGUGGUUAAAAAGCUCGUAGUCGAACCUCGAGCCCGGCCGGCCGGUCCGCCUCACCGCGUGCACUGGUCUGGCCGGGCUCUUCCCUCUGCGGAACCGCAUGCCCUUUACUGGGCGUGUCGGGGAGGCAGGACUUUUACUUUGAAAAAAUUAGAGUGCUCAAGGCAGGCCAAUGCUCGGAUACAUUAGCAUGGAAUAAUAGAAUAGGACGUUGGUUCUAUUUUGUUGGUUUCUAGGACCGCCGUAAUGAUCAAUAGGGACGGUCGGGGGCAUCAGUAUUCAGCCGCGAGAGGUGAAAUUCUUAGACCGGCUGAAGACUAACUACUGCGAAAGCAUUUGCCAAGGACGUUUUCGCUGAUCAGGAACGAAAGUUAGGGGAUCGAAGACGAUCAGAUACCGUCGUAGUCUUAACCAUAAACGGUGCCGACUUGGGAUCGGGCGCUGUUCUCUCUAGACGCGCUCGGCACCAUUCGAGAAAUCAAAGUGCGUGGGCUCCAGGGGGAGUAUGGCGGCAACGCUGAAACUUAAAGAAAUUGACGGAAGGGCACCACCAGGGGUGGAACCUGCGGCUUAAUUUGACUCAACACGGGGAAACUCACCAGGUCCGGACACAAUGAGGAUUGACAGAUUGAGAGCUCUUUCUUGAUUUUGUGGGUGGUGGUGCAUGGCCGUUCUUAGUUGGUGGGGUGACUUGUCUGCCUAAUCGCGAUAACGAACGAGACCUUGACUGCUAAAUAGCACGCUCCGCCUCGGCGGUGCCGCGGCUUCUUAGUGGGACUAUCGGCUCAAGCCGAUGGAAGUUCGAGGCAAUAACAGGUCUGUGAUGCCCUUAGAUGUCCUGGGCCGCACGCGCGUGACACUGACAGAGCCAGCGAGUUUUUCCUUGGCCGGAAGGCCCGGGUAAUCUUGUGAAACUCUGUCGUGAUGGGGAUAGAGCAUUGCAAUUGUUGCUCUUCAACGAGGAAUCCCUAGUAAGCGCAAGUCAUCAGCUUGCGUUGAUUACGUCCCUGCCCUUUGUACACACCGCCCGUCGCUACUACCGAUUGAAUGGCUCAGUGAGGUCUUCGGACUGGCCCAGGGAGGCGGGCGACUGCCACCCAGGGCCGGAAAGUUGCCCAAACUCGGUCAUUUAGAGGAAGUAAA